rnacentral:rRNA from 1 species
AGAGUUUGAUCCUGGCUCAGGACGAACGCUGGCGGCGUGCCUAAUACAUGCAAGUAGAACGCUGAAGAGAGGAGCUUGCUCUUCUUGGAUGAGUUGCGAACGGGUGAGUAACGCGUAGGUAACCUGCCUUGUAGCGGGGGAUAACUAUUGGAAACGAUAGCUAAUACCGCAUAACAAUGGAUGACACAUGUCAUUUAUUUGAAAGGGGCAAUUGCUCCACUACAAGAUGGACCUGCGUUGUAUUAGCUAGUAGGUGAGGUAAUGGCUCACCUAGGCGACGAUACAUAGCCGACCUGAGAGGGUGAUCGGCCACACUGGGACUGAGACACGGCCCAGACUCCUACGGGAGGCAGCAGUAGGGAAUCUUCGGCAAUGGGGGCAACCCUGACCGAGCAACGCCGCGUGAGUGAAGAAGGUUUUCGGAUCGUAAAGCUCUGUUGUAAGUCAAGAACGGGUGUGAGAGUGGAAAGUUCACACUGUGACGGUAGCUUACCAGAAAGGGACGGCUAACUACGUGCCAGCAGCCGCGGUAAUACGUAGGUCCCGAGCGUUGUCCGGAUUUAUUGGGCGUAAAGCGAGCGCAGGCGGUUUGAUAAGUCUGAAGUUAAAGGCUGUGGCUCAACCAUAGUUCGCUUUGGAAACUGUCAAACUUGAGUGCAGAAGGGGAGAGUGGAAUUCCAUGUGUAGCGGUGAAAUGCGUAGAUAUAUGGAGGAACACCGGUGGCGAAAGCGGCUCUCUGGUCUGUAACUGACGCUGAGGCUCGAAAGCGUGGGGAGCGAACAGGAUUAGAUACCCUGGUAGUCCACGCCGUAAACGAUGAGUGCUAGGUGUUGGAUCCUUUCCGGGAUUCAGUGCCGCAGCUAACGCAUUAAGCACUCCGCCUGGGGAGUACGACCGCAAGGUUGAAACUCAAAGGAAUUGACGGGGGCCCGCACAAGCGGUGGAGCAUGUGGUUUAAUUCGAAGCAACGCGAAGAACCUUACCAGGUCUUGACAUCCCGAUGCUAUUUCUAGAGAUAGAAAGUUACUUCGGUACAUCGGUGACAGGUGGUGCAUGGUUGUCGUCAGCUCGUGUCGUGAGAUGUUGGGUUAAGUCCCGCAACGAGCGCAACCCCUAUUGUUAGUUGCCAUCAUUCAGUUGGGCACUCUAGCGAGACUGCCGGUAAUAAACCGGAGGAAGGUGGGGAUGACGUCAAAUCAUCAUGCCCCUUAUGACCUGGGCUACACACGUGCUACAAUGGUUGGUACAACGAGUUGCGAGUCGGUGACGGCGAGCUAAUCUCUUAAAGCCAAUCUCAGUUCGGAUUGUAGGCUGCAACUCGCCUACAUGAAGUCGGAAUCGCUAGUAAUCGCGGAUCAGCACGCCGCGGUGAAUACGUUCCCGGGCCUUGUACACACCGCCCGUCACAACACGAGAGUUUGUAACACCCGAAGUCGGUGAGGUAACCUUUUGGAGCCAGCCGCCUAAGGUGGGACAGAUGAUUGGGGUGAAGUCGUAACAAGGUA